rnacentral:rRNA from 1 species
GUCGAACGGAUUAUUCUUUAUAGCUUGCUGCAUGUAUGGUUAGUGGCAGACGGGUGAGUAAUGCAUAGGAAUCUGCCUAGUAGUAUAGGAUAGCCACUAGAAAUGGUGGGUAAUACUGUAUAAUCCCUGCGGGGGAAAGAUUUAUCGCUACUAGAUGAGCCUAUGUCAGAUUAGCUAGUUGGUGGGGUAAUGGCCUACCAAGGCAGUGAUCUGUAGCUGGUCUGAGAGGAUGAUCAGCCACACUGGAAUUGAGACACGGUCCAGACUCCUACGGGAGGCAGCAGUGGGGAAUAUUGGACAAUGGGCGCAAGCCUGAUCCAGCUAUGCCGCGUGAGUGAGGAAGGCCUUAGGAUUGUAAAACUCUUUCAGUAGGGAAGAUAAUGACGGUACCUACAGAAGAAGUCCCGGCAAACUCCGUGCCAGCAGCCGCGGUAAUACGGAGGGGGCAAGCGUUGUUCGGAAUUAUUGGGCGUAAAGGGCAUGUAGGCGGUUUGGUAAGUUAAAGGUGAAAUACCAGGGCUUAACCCUGGGGCUGCUUUUAAUACUGCAGGACUAGAGUCCGGAAGAGGAUAGCGGAAUUCCUAGUGUAGAGGUGAGAUUCGUAGAUAUUAGGAGGAACACCAGUGGCGAAGGCGGCUGUCUGGUCCGGUACUGACGCUGAGGUGCGAAAGCGUGGGGAGCGGACAGGAUUAGAUACCCUAGUAGUCCACGCUGUAAACGAUGAGUGCUGAAUGUGGGGGCUUUUGCCUCUGUGUUGUAGCUAACGCGUUAAGCACUCCGCCUGGGGACUACGGUCGCAAGACUAAAACUCAAAGGAAUUGACGGGGACCCGCACAAGCGGUGGAGCAUGUGGUUUAAUUCGAUGCAACGCGAAAAACCUUACCACUUCUUGACAUGGAGAUUAGAUCCUUCUUAACGGAAGGG